GUGCUUACUUCAGCAGCACAUAUACUAAAAUUGGAACCAUACAAAGAAGAUUAGCAUGGCUCCUGCGUAAGGGUAACUCACAAAUUCAUGAAAUGUUCCAUACUUAA
ensembl:snRNA U6 U6 spliceosomal RNA